GGUUAAGCGACUAAGCGUACACGGUGGAUGCCCUGGCAGUCAGAGGCGAUGAAGGACGUGCUAAUCUGCGAUAAGCGUCGGUAAGGUGAUAUGAACCGUUAUAACCGGCGAUUUCCGAAUGGGGAAACCCAGUGUGAUUCGUCACACUAUCAUUAACUGAAUCCAUAGGUUAAUGAGGCGAACCGGGGGAACUGAAACAUCUAAGUACCCCGAGGAAAAGAAAUCAACCGAGAUUCCCCCAGUAGCGGCGAGCGAACGGGGAGGAGCCCAGAGCCUGAAUCAGUGUGUGUGUUAGUGGAAGCGUCUGGAAAGGCGCGCGAUACAGGGUGAGAGCCCCGUACACAAAAAUGCACAUGCUGUGAGCUCGAUGAGUAGGGCGGGACACGUGGUAUCCUGUCUGAAUAUGGGGGGACCAUCCUCCAAGGCUAAAUACUCCUGACUGACCGAUAGUGAACCAGUACCGUGAGGGAAAGGCGAAAAGAACCCCGGCGAGGGGAGUGAAAAAGAACCUGAAACCGUGUACGUACAAGCAGUGGGAGCCUCUUUUAUGGGGUGACUGCGUACCUUUUGUAUAAUGGGUCAGCGACUUAUAUUCUGUAGCAAGGUUAACCGAAUAGGGGAGCCGAAGGGAAACCGAGUCUUAAC
rnacentral:rRNA from 1 species